UGGGAAGGAACCCCUGCUCGAGCCCCUAGUGGUUGCCUAGAUACGAACCUCGAUUGGUAUGCAGGCCACAUUAAAGAAGUAGGGCGUGGAGAGCGGCUUAAGGAGUCAAAGGCGUCCAAGUAACUAGCGAGCGUAUGAAGUUUUCUCCGAGUCUCGCCAGACUUUUUUUUCCCUUGCUUGUUUUACUCGUCCCGGUAUUCGACGAGGAAAACUGAGAUUGCAUUAAAAUCAAGUUUUUCUUAGAAUGAAUCAAUCUCAAACAGAGAAUACCAGCACUGAGGUAUAUCCAAUUCAGACACUGCUAAUACUUGCACAGUAAGAUUUUAGAGGCAUCAAGUAUUUCACUGCUGAUUACACAUUUUAUCAGCUUGUGACCACUUUAAAGUAUUAUUAACCAACCUCCAUGUGGACAUAUGAUGAACAAACUCCCCAUGGACUGCAACUGGGCUGGGAACCAAAUCCAGGUCACUGGAAUUCUGAGACAGCAGUAUUUAUAAGGAUGCAGAGCCCAUGACUGGAGCGGAAUAAGGAAGAAGCCAACCUCAUACCUCAAAAUCGAAGGGCACAUCUAAUCUACACAUAUUUAAUGGAAUCAUGAGCACCUUUGCAACAUAUUCAAAACACAUAUGAAUUAUAUUUAAUCAAUUACAUGCUAAGAAGUUUAACAUGUUUUCUAUAUCUUAAUUUAGCAUAUAGACCAUGCAUUAAUUACCAUGCAAAUAUAGGUAAGUUAGAAAUGUAGUUUAGUGUGACUUUUAAAGACACGUUGUGUGCAAUUUAAUUGAAAGCUUGCCACACACUGUUAAGCUGCACAGCUACUACUAUUCAUUUUUCUCUACCAUUUAAUUUAUUUCUUAAAUACAGUACAACCUGUAUGUUAUAAUUUUACACUUGUAAUAUUUAAUACGAUGUGAGAAGUCAUUACCAAUACAGACAUAUAUAGGAAGUAUGGAAAAUACUUCUCUAUAAAUAUUCAUUACUGCAAGCCACAGCUUUGGUGUUACAUUGAAAUUAUAGUAAUUGUUUAGUGGGCAUCUCAAUUGUAUCCCCUAGAGGGCACCUUAUGAAUAAUCUGAGGAAUCAGUAACAAAACAAACACCAAAAUGGGAAUUGAAGUGAGGACUAGAUGGAGUUUGGAUAAGCAUACAUUAUACUAAGCAUUACUUGGAAUUAUCAUGUAGCAAAAAUGUGUUUAAACAGAAGAAAGAAAUGAAUGGUGCAUUGUAUUUAGAAAUGUUUUAUUUUUAAUAUAAAGUGUAUGCUUGUAAAUCUAAAAAAUACUGUAUUUGAAAUGACUUCAAUACAAACA